rnacentral:rRNA from 1 species
CACUCCUACGGGAGGCAGCAGUGGGGAAUUUUGGACCAUGGGCGAAAGCCUGAUCCAGCAAUGCCGCGUGAGUGAAGAAGGCCUUCGGGUUGUAAAGCUCUUUUGUCAGGGAAGAAACGGUGAAAGCUAAUAUCUUUUGCUAAUGACGGUACCUGAAGAAUAAGCACCGGCUAACUACGUGCCAGCAGCCGCGGUAAUACGUAGGGUGCAAGCGUUAAUCGGAAUUACUGGGCGUAAAGCGUGCGCAGGCGGUUUUGUAAGUCUGAUGUGAAAUCCCCGGGCUCAACCUGGGAAUUGCAUUGGAGACUGCAAGGCUAGAAUCUGGCAGAGGGGGGUAGAAUUCCACGUGUAGCAGUGAAAUGCGUAGAUAUGUGGAGGAACACCGAUGGCGAAGGCAGCCCCCUGGGUCAAGAUUGACGCUCAUGCACGAAAGCGUGGGGAGCAAACAGGAUUAGAAACCCGAGUAGUCCCAUG